AAGUGGUUGGCCGAGUGGUUAAGGCGUUCGACUGCUAAUCGAAUGGGAUUUCCCGCAUGAGUUCGAAUCUCAUAUCGCUCG
rnacentral:tRNA from 2 species